rnacentral:rRNA from 1 species
UACGUAGGGUGCAAGCGUUGUCCGGAAUUAUUGGGCGUAAAGAGCUCGUAGGCGGUCUGUCGCGUCUGCUGUGAAAACUCAGGGCUUAACCCUGAGCUUGCAGUGGGUACGGGCAGACUAGAGUGCGGUAGGGGGAGACUGGAAUUCCUGGUGUAGCGGUGAAAUGCGCAGAUAUCAGGAGGGAACACCCGGUGGCGAAAGGCGGGGUCUCUGGGGCCGUAACUGACG